CAAGAAACAGAAGGGUCUGGAAGCUACUAAGGAAGAUGUGAUGGAGUUAAACAGGAAGUUGUCAAUGAUUGACUGUCAGCUGAGGAAGUCUGAGCUGAGCAGAAGACACCUGGAGAUCUCCAACAAGAAACUACUGGGAUUCGCACAGAAUGUUCACAAAGUGCUCACCACCCCCAGCUUGUUUGGAAUGGAAAAUGGGAGCAGCAGGACCUCUCCAGCCACAGACAGUCCAGAGACCCCUCUCCCAUCCCAGACCCAGCCUGCCAGUUAGCUGCAGAGGCCAGGGAGCUGGUGGAGGGGGUCAGAUCCCUGAGCAGCACCGAUGAUACAGCCCCUCUCAGUGACUCAGAGGUGGGUGAACCACCUGACCCAGCCAUGGACCCUAACCGGGCCACACAGUGACCCUCAUAGCUCGCCGGCUCAGACAUCUCCUACAGAAGAUCCAGCCAAAGACAAGCGGCGCCAGUAGAGAACGUUCAGAGAACGUUUUAGAGAACGUGAAAAGAACACCGUGGCUGGGGACUAGGCUCAGAAGAACACAGUGGUUGGCUGACUACGUUUACCGAAAAACUACCAACGACCCUUUAAAAGACCGACAGACAAAUUGAGAGAGACAAGCAGACAGACUGUAUGUAGGAUGCUAUGCAGUGUGCGUAAAAAAAGAAAGAAAACACUUACAACUCAGCUUCAGUCAAUGUUCUGGGAUUGCUUUACCGAUUAACCGUAAAAAAAAAAAAAUGUUCUAGUUUAUCUGUUUUCUAAUACAGCUGUGUGUGUACUUACGUUUCUCUGUUGAUAUUUAGCAUUUGUCAGAAUGUGAACGAAGGGGAGAUUCUCAACUGGGAGAAUCUCCCCUUCCUGGGAAGGAUAGCAGGUUUUGAGGUGAAAUGGCAGAGACUUGUAGAUGCAGUUCAGUUUGUUCCAAAGAGCUUGCCGUAGCCGAUUAGACAGCACUACAAAGCCAAGGCGCUACCGUUGGGUGUGUAGGUGUACAGACAUACAGCAUGAGCUAUGAUGAUGAUGAUGAUGAUGAUGAUGAUGCACUGAACCUUUCUAUCCAUGAGUUCCAAUACUCUGUAAAAGAUGAAUUCUCUCAUGUCCUAUUUCCUUGUAUCCUAUUUCCUUGUAUCCUUCCUGACCACUGAAAUCUGGAGAGACCGGAUAGUGACGUUCAAUAUGCCGGUAUGACAUUCAUUGGCUGCUCGUCAAAUUGGUUCCAUCCGUUUAUUUUUGGGAUCAGUGGUCCUCAAGGACACGAAGAGAGAUGAAGACGUUUCUGUUCAUUAUCUGAGACGGGACAGAAAUGUGUAUUUUUGCUCACAACAGUUCCCAGAGUUGAGGAGAAGAAGCCAGACUAGGGUAUUGGAACCUAGCCCGAGUUGUGUCUAUAGCUGUAUCGCCAUGGCUACAGUCAGUGCCCUGCAUGUGUAUACUUCAGAGAGAGAGAGAGGAUAACGUGGACGAUGUGCCCUGAUCCAAAGCGUCUCAUCCUGAUGACAUCGUGUCACCAUGGUGAUGACCCUGUGUACAGAAACGGUUUGUCCCUUAUACUGACGUGCUCUGAUGAACUGUCUGUCUGUUUUGAAGAUGAUUUUGUACUGGAAAAGCCCAUUUUCUGUUACGGAUACCGAGGUAGAGGAAGAAGCUUUAGGACCUGCACGAGCUGUCAUGGCGACGCCGAGACGUCUGCUUUUGCUGUUAUUAUAAAACCUUGUAAAUAUUGCACUCUCCUUUGAUGUCCUUCUCCACAUCUGCUGACUGACGCACACACACACACACACACACACACACACACACACACACACACACACACACACACACACACACACACACACACACACACACACACACACACACACACACACACACACACACACACACACACACACACACACACACACACACACACACACAC